AAAGUGAAUGGCCGCAGUACUCUGACUGUGCUAAGGUAGCAUAAUAAUUUGGCUUUUAAUUAAGGUCUAGUAUGAAAGGAAAUCUGGAUAUAGUCUGUCUUUAUUUCUAUCCUUUAAACUUACUUAAGGAGUGAAAAUACUCCUAAAUAAAAUAAUAGACGAGAAGACCCUUAGAAUUAUUAGUAAUUUUUUGUCGAUGACUAAAUUUUCUUUUUGUUGGGGCAACAAUGGUGCAACUUAGAACCACCAAUUAUAUAAAUAGAUACAAAUCGAUUAUUAAUAAAGUAGGAGUAAAUUACCUUAGGGAUAACAGCAUAAUCUUUAAGUAAUGUUUGUGACCUCGAUGUUGGAUUAGGGAAAGAUUAGACUAGUCGUUUAAUUUUAAGGUUCUGUUCGAACUUUUAGUCCUACGUGAUCUGAGU
rnacentral:rRNA from 1 species